CUUAAUGGGAGAAAAUUAUCUAUUGCAUCACUUUUUAAUUUCCCUCUACAAUAUUUCACUUAAGUCCGUCAAAAAAAUAUUUCUCUUUCUGUAGCAAAAAAUUAUUUCUCUUUCUGUAGAAAAUAUCAAAAUCAAGUAGAAAAUUAGAAAAUAUCAAAAUCCCUCUUUAUGUAGCAAAUCAGAAAAUUCACAAUUCAAAUCUACUCCAAUUUGAAGCAAAGAGAUUCCUUCUUCUGAUACUCAUCAUUUGUUACUUCAUCGUACCAUCUCUCUUUCACAUUUCUUCUUCUCCAAACAAAGAAAGAAGAUGAAUAAAGAUAUUGAGAUGGCGGAGCAACUCUCUUCACAAUCUUACACCAUAAGUACAAUCUUACUACAAUUCUCUUCACAAUUGAUUUAUAUGGUGUAAUUAACCCAAGUUAUAUUUGUAACUUUUGGAUAUGUUUAUUUUGACUAAAUGUUUUGUUUUUUUGGAGGAUUUUGGAUGAUUGUUAUUUAGUCAGAUUUGAAGGAGAUAGAAUCGUUGAUUAAGAUUGGGGCAUAUGCUCGUGAAGUAAGGAGGAUUUCAAGAGAUGUGAGGCUGACUGGUAUUCAAUAAGAAGCUAAAGGCUUUUUCACUAAUUGCUUUCCUCGCUGUCGUGAUGCCUAUAGUAGAAGCGGAUGUCACUUUUGGCCUUGGUAAAUCGAACUUAACUCCAAAUGAGAUCGUGGGAUUAUUCUAACACACUUCAACAACAACAACAACAUAUGGAGUGUAAUUUCACAAGAAGAUAUGAUGAACCACUUUGUCUAGGAAUUCAAGAGAAAGCACAAGAAGGAUAUUAGAGUAUUAUAAUUUGUUAUAUGUGUAAAUACUAAUUUAUAUAGUUGCAUAAAAUUUUAAUUUGUAUUAUUAUAUUAAUGAAAGAUUUUGUUGGUAUGUGUA